rnacentral:lncRNA from 13 species
GAGGGUGGAAAGGAGAGUCGAGAGGAGGAUGGAGAAGAGGAGGCAGAGUUCGCUACGACCCAACUUUCAGCAGUGAGGAAAGAUGGCAAGCGCAACGGACAGGCGGAUGCAACUUUUAUUUCAACUGCUGUUAAUAUAUUAAUAAAAUUAAAUUUAUAACUUA